rnacentral:SRP_RNA from 1 species
UAUGGGGGGCUUUGGGUUAGUUCGUCGCCAACCCGGUCAGGUUCGGAAGAAAGCAGCCGUAACGAUUUUUGACUAAGGUCAACAGUCCCCCACCUAC